rnacentral:lncRNA from 12 species
CAGCUCUCAUGCCAUUUUGAACAAUUAUUCUAAACUACAUCCUUUGAAUUAGAUGUAGUUUAUGUUUGUUUGUUUUUAGGCCCUGUUGUAGCUGGGGUGGUUGGCACCAAAAUGUCAAGAUAGCCUACUGCUUAUUUGGCAACACUGUAAACACAGCGUCCCGUAUGGAGUCCACCAGUGAAGGUAUUUGGGCAAACGCAGCUGUUUACACAGCGUCAGUUAGUAACUGAUCCUGUCUGACAUUUCCGGGGGAAUGGAAUCUUGUAAAUAUUUGCAAUGAUUUGUUGGUUAAAAUGUGAUAAAAUCGAAUGAUGCAUCCAAAUAUUUCCCUUUCUUGAACUUCUGUGGAGAUUAAAAGAUAAAGCUAACCAAAAAUCUCUUGGGUGUCAUGGAUCAUUAUUAAACAAUUUUCAGGCUUUUAUAUGUGUUAUUGUUGUUUUUUUCAUGUUUACAGAUUUAAAGAUGCAGUGCAGUGGUUCUACAGCAGAUCAUCUACACACACUUGGUGGAUAUGUGCUGAUGUGUCUUGGGUCUCUCUAUGUGAAGGAGAAAGGUGAAAUGAUAUCUUGGUGGCUGGAGGCAAAAAUAAACCCUGCAGACCCUUUGUUCCAGGAAGACGAACCUCUGGGUCUUCCUGUUCCUGUUAGCAGUUAACUUAUGUGCUGCAGUCACAUAUAAGCACAGUCACAACAGAAACCUUAACAAAUACAUUGACUUGUUCAGCAGUCAUGCUAACUGACUUUAUUUAAGCGUAUACUUACUGUUGGUGUAUAAGUAUGUGCUGAGUAUUACAUUUGAUUGCUGAUAUAUUGCAGCUGUUAUUGUUUUGUGCAUUAGACUAAGAGAACAAUGUUGUAUAUGUUUUGUCAGGACUAUUUAAAAAUGGUCUUUGUCGUAUGAAGGGCAAAUGUGUGCAUAAUUUGUCAUUUAAAGUAGAUAUGCUGGAAUAAAAUAUGCAGAUGUUGAUGUUCUAAAAUAACUAUUAGCUUUGCAGUGAUAAAUAUUUUAGCACCGUGUUACUAAUACUAUCACUAUAUCCCAAUAAAGUGCAUUACUUUAUUAGAGUAACUAGCAUAUUUAAGUUUUUAGCCCCUGCACUGACUGCUAUGACGCGGGGGCGCGCAUGAGUUACAGCCAAUGACACGCCCUCAUUUUUGUUGCAUGGCAACGCAUUUGCGUGUGAGUGUUUUCGUUCAAGGUUGAGUUGUCCAGAAGGCUCCUGCAUCAAUGUAACGAAGUGCUACAGCUUUAUCACGCAUAAUAACUUAUCUGGAAAAUAUGUGUCAAUCCGUGGCGAAUGUCGGGAAAUGAAGCUGGCAAACCUCACGAGUGCGCUUGAAUGCCAAAAGAUACGCAGUAAGUGAACCGCUGAUGGUUUAAAACUUAAAGUCCUCAUUUGUUAACCACAACAUCUGUAAUUCCUAAAUAUUAAAGAUGUAAAAAUCGCUUUUGUGGCGCAUUAUCAUAAUAUAAUUUUGUGUAAAUGCGGCGCCCUAAUGCAGAAAUCCUUCUAUUCACCUUAACCUACUUUACAUCUGAUCAUGGUGUGUUCUAGGUUUGUGCUAUUCAGUAAUAUUUACCUUCUCAUCAAUUUUGUAUUGUCGUUCUGUGCAAUAACAUAUAUAUAUAGGUAUUAAUGAUUCCAUGAAGAACCUUGAACAUCUAUGGAACCUUUCCAUUCCGCAAAAGGUCUUUAUAGUGGAAAAAGAUUCUUUAGAAAUGUUUUUCACACUAAGAACAAUUCUUUUAAGAACUGUUCCCUGAAAGGUUCUUUGGGGAACCAAAAUGGUUUUUCUAUGGCAUUACAGAAAGAAAUAAAAAAAUAAAGAAAAAAAAAACCUUCUUGAACCUGUAUUUUUAAGACUGUAAUGAUUUCUAACCAGUGAGAUAUGAUUGUGCACUGAUAUAUAUGAUAAUUUUGUGCGAGGAACAGCCUGAAUAUGCUGCUUUUAAACACAUUAUGUCACCAUCAUUGGUUCUCACAUGCUUUGUGCCCAAAAUGUAAUGAACUCAAAGCUGACUUUUGGCACCAUACUGUAUUUUACUGGAAAACUUUGGUGGAGUAAAAAUCUUAAAUUUUAAAUCCUGUUUUAGGUCUGUUCUUUUCAGAAAUCUGUCGCUGGGCUUCAUAAUUCAGACUUUGAAUGUUGUGCACAAGUCAUAUGGACUACUUUUAGGGGUUUCAUUUAGUUUUUUCUCCUUUUUGGAGAAAAGCAAAAGUGGUAACAGCAGGUUUGGAAUGAUGUGGGUGAGAAAAUAAUAACAUUAUUUCUGGGCAAAAUAUUCCUUUUAAAUCAGUUGCAUUUGGCAUAUUAUUCACAUAGGUGAGAAAAGUAACAGAGAUUUCAGCCGGUGCUCCAGAUAACCAAAGUCUUGUGGGAAAAGGGAAAUAUUAGGUGACUCAAAAUACUGUGGAAAGUUAUUUUAAGCACAGGUUCACCUCCUAACCUAAUUUAGAGCAGUAUUCGCAUUCUCUCAGAACCGGUACCACAUGUACUUAAGACAAAUCUUUACAAUUAAUAAUGCAUUUUAUGAUUAUGCAUUAUUUUAUACAGCUAACUAUUUAUGUCUA